rnacentral:rRNA from 1 species
GAUGAACGCUGGCGGCGUGCCUAAUACAUGCAAGUCGAGCGAAUGGAUUAAGAGCUUGCUCUUAUGAAGUUAGCGGCGGAUGGGUGAGUAACACGUGGGUAACCUGCCCAUAAGACUGUGAUAACUCCGGGAAACCGUGGCUAAUACCGGAUAACAUUUUAAACCGCCUGGUUCGAAAUUGAAAUGCGGCUUCGGCUGUCACUGAUGGAUGGACCUGCGUCGCAUUAGCUAGAUGGUGAGGUAACGGCUCACCAAGGCAACAAUGGGUAUCCGACCUGAGAGGGUGAUCGGCCACACUGGGACUGAGACACGGCCCAGACUCCUACGGGAGGCAGCAGUAGGGAAUCUUCCGCAAUGGACGAAAGUCUGACGGAGCAACGCCGCGUGAGUGAUGAAGGCUUUCGGGUAGUAAAACUCUGUUGUUAGGGAAGAACAAGUGCUAGUUGAAUAAGCUGGCACCUUGACGGUACCUAAACAGAAAGCCACGGCUAACUACGUGCCAGCCGCCGCGGUAA